CCUACGGGAGGCAGCAGUGAGGAAUAUUGGUCAAUGGACGAGAGUCUGAACCAGCCAAGUAGCGUGAAGGAUGACUGCCCUAUGGGUUGUAAACUUCUUUUAUAAAGGAAUAAAACGAGGCACGUGUGCCUUUUUGCAUGUACUUUAUGAAUAAGGAUCGGCGAACCCCGGUCCAGCAGCCGCGGUAAUACGGAGGAUCCGAGCGUUAUCCGGAUUUAUUGGGUUUAAAGGGAGCGUAGAUGGGUUGUUAAGUCAGUUGUGAAAGUUUGCGGCGCAACCGUAAAAUUGCAAUUGAUACUGGCAGUCUUGAGGACAGGUGAGGGAGGCGGAAUUCGUGGUGUAGCGGUGAAAUGCUUAGAUAUCACGAAGAACCGCGAUUGCGAAGGCAGGUUACUAAACGGUGACUGACAUUGAUGCUCGAAAGUGUGGGUAUCAAACAGGAUUAGAUACCCGUGUAGUC
rnacentral:rRNA from 1 species